rnacentral:rRNA from 1 species
ACUCAAAUGAAUUGACGGGGACCCGCACAAGCGGUGGAGCAUGUGGAUUAAUUCGAUACUAACCGAAGAACCUUACCCAGGUUUGACAUCGAUCGCAACUCCCAGAAAAGGGAGCCUCCCCCACAAGGGGACGUGAAGACACUUGUUGCAUGGCUGUCGUCAGCUCGUGCCGUGAGGUGUACGGUUAAGUCCGCCAACGAGCGCAACCCUCGUCCUGUGUUACCAGCAUGAAAGAUGGGAACUCACAGGAGACCGCCGGUGUAAGCCGGAGGAAGGUGAGGAUGACGUCAAGUCGGCAUGGCAGUUACGCCUGGGGCUUCACACAUGCUACAAUGGAUGAAACAAAGGGCAGCAAUACCGCGAGGUGGAGCAAAUCCCAAAAAUACAUCCUCAGUUCAGAUUGUAGUCUGCAACUCGACUACAUAAAGUCGGAAUCGCUAGUAAACGCAGGUCAGCUAUACUGCGUUGAAUACGUUCCCGGGUCUUGCACACACCGCCCGU